GAUGAACGCUAGCGAUAGGCCUAACACAUGCAAGUCGAGGGGCAUCACGGAGUAGCAAUACUUUGGUGGCGACCGGCGCACGGGUGAGUAACGCGUAUGCAAUCUACCUACAACAGGGGGAUAACCCGGAGAAAUCCGGACUAAUAUCGCAUAACACAGGGGUCCCGCAUGGGAAUAUGUGUUAAAGAUUUAUCGGUUGUAGAUGAGCAUGCGUUCCAUUAGGUAGUUGGUGAGGUAACGGCCCGCCAAGCCUGCGAUGGAUAGGGGAACUGAGAGGUUUGUCCCCCACACUGGAACUGAGACACGGACCAGACUCCUACGGGAGGCAGCAGUGAGGAAUAUUGGUCAAUGGGCGAGAGCCUGAACCAGCCAAAUCGCGUGAAGGAAGACUGCCUUAUGGGUUGUAAACUUCUUUUGUACAGGAAUAAAAAGAGGGACGUGUCCUUCAUUGCAUGUACUGUACGAAUAAGCAUCGGCUAACUCCGUGCCAGCCGCCGCCGUAA
rnacentral:rRNA from 1 species